AGCGAACGCUGGCGGCGUGCCUAACACAUGCAAGUCGAACGUGAAAGGGAGCAAUCCCAAGUAAAGUGGCGUACGGGUGAGUAACACGUAGGUAAUCUACCCCAGACUCUGGAAUAACCGGCCGAAAGGCUGGCUAAUACUGGAUAGAGCGACGGAAUCCGUAAUUGGGUUUUUCGGGAAAGGGAGCCUGUAAAAAGGCCUUCGUUCUGGGAUGAGCCUGCGUCCCAUCAGCUAGUUGGUGAGGUAAAAGCUUACCAAGGCAAUGACGGGUAGCUGGUCUGAGAUGACGGUCAGCCACACUGGGACUGAAACACGGUCCAGACUCCUACGGGAGGCAGCAGUGGGGAAUCGUGCGCAAGGGACGAAAGUCUGACGCAGCAACGCCGCGUGAGGGAAGAAGGCCUUCGGGUUGGAAAGCUCUGUCGAGUGGGACGAAAAUGCUUGGAGUUCACAGCUCCAGGAACUGACGGUACCACUAAAGGAAGCACCGGCUAACUCCGUG
rnacentral:rRNA from 1 species